AUUGAAAACAUGAUGAGGCCCUACAAUGAACCACUACGCCUUGGGCAGAACGUAGGGUUUUGUGCAAAAUGAAAAACAAAAGAAAAUUACUCUGUUUGAAGAGUAACUUGGACCACUUCUUCGGCCGUCCAAUUGUUGAUUGACUCCCCUGGAGCACACGGGCGCACCCAGUUGUCCACAUCAUAAUCACUGUCACCAUCU
rnacentral:lncRNA from 1 species